AGUGUCAGUUGCUCGGCGGCGGCGGCCGUGGUCAUCAGGAAGGGGACGGGACGGAUGGCGAUGGUGGUCGCCGCGGCGGCGUGUGCGCCCCUCAGGAAAAGAAUACUUGAGAUCCAUUUGUAAGGAAAGAAAAGGAAGCAACAACAUAAUGCCCAGAGUUGGAGCCAAUUAAACCAGACGAAUCUCACUCUGUCGCCCAGGCUGGAGUGCCGGUGGCACGAUCUUGGCUCACUGCAACCUCUGCCUUCCAGGUUCGAGUAAUUCUCCUGCCUCAGUCUCCCAAGUAGCUGGGUCUACAAUAAACAUGGCUAUCUUCAGAAACUAAGGAAUGAGAGGCAAGGAAGAAAGGACAUUCAUCCUGGAAAGAACCAAAGCACCUUGAAAUUUGGAAGGAAUGCUAUGCUAGCUGCUAAAACCACCUUUGUCACCACAAUGAAUGAAGUGCUUCAGAUUUAAACAAUUGAUCAUUCUUAGAAGAGCUGCUGUAACACAUAGGGGAAGUGAAAACUAACAGAUGAAAG
rnacentral:sRNA from 1 species